GAUGAACGCUGGCGGCGUGCUUAACACAUGCAAGUCGAACGAAGCAUUUGCGACAGAUUUUUUCGGAAUGAAGUUGCUUAUGACUGAGUGGCGGACGGGUGAGUAACGCGUGGGUAACCUGCCUUGUACUGGGGGAUAGCAGCUGGAAACGGCUGGUAAUACCGCAUAAGCGCACAAUGUUGCAUGACAUGGUGUGAAAAACUCCGGUGGUAUAAGAUGGACCCGCGUCUGAUUGGCUAGUUGGUGAGAUAACAGCCCACCAAGGCGACGAUCAGUAGCCGACCUGAGAGGGUGACCGGCCACAUUGGGACUGAGACACGGCCCAGACUCCUACGGGAGGCAGCAGUGGGGAAUAUUGCACAAUGGAGGAAACUCUGAUGCAGCGACGCCGCGUGAGUGAAGAAGUAAUUCGUUAUGUAAAGCUCUAUCAGCAGGGAAGAUAGUGACGGUACCUGACGAAGAAGCUCCGGCUAAAUACGUG
rnacentral:rRNA from 1 species